AUUGCUUUAGAGCAACCAGCAAGCUCGAGCUCUCUCAGCCCGAGAGAGAGAAACCCGACGACCCGCAAGGCAAUCCGGCCACCGAUCGACGACGCAAGACCACCGAUCUCUUCCUCCCGUCGUCGCCGUCACGCCUGUGGCCUCAGAUCGUCCAUGCACCCGACGAGAAAGAAGAAUCAACUGUGAGAAUGUCCGACUGCUCCGGCGAGUUUCUGCACAUUCCGGCGACCGAUUGGGCUGUAUGUGGUCUAGGCGAGAUAUUGUGAAGUUUGUUGGGUUAUUGACAACAAGGUCACCAGUUCAUCAUCAGUCCAGUUUCAGUAAAGGAUUCCGGGAAGACCGAGUUGGUUUUUGAAGGGACGGAGCCACUCACAG